rnacentral:snRNA from 1 species
AUCACUUCUUGGCCUUUUGGCUAAGAUCAAGUGUAGUAAAAAGAACCACUGACGUGGUAAAUAAAAAGUUAAUUCAGUAUAGGAACUUGUUACUUUUUGAUUCAGAAAGUAAAAUUAGCCACAUUCUAAGUAAAAUUAAGUAUUGUGUAUUUCUU